CACGAACGCUGGCGGCAGGCUUAACACAUGCAAGUCGAGCGGAGAUGAGGUGCUUGCACCUUAUCUUAGCGGCGGACGGGUGAGUAAUGCUUAGGAAUCUGCCUAUUAGUGGGGGACAACAUUCCGAAAGGAAUGCUAAUACCGCAUACGUCCUACGGGAGAAAGCAGGGGAUCUUCGGACCUUGCGCUAAUAGAUGAGCCUAAGUCGGAUUAGCUAGUUGGUGGGGUAAAGGCCUACCAAGGCGACGAUCUGUAGCGGGUCUGAGAGGAUGAUCCGCCACACUGGGAAUGAGACAGGGCCCAGACUCCUACGGGAGGCAGCAGGGGGGAAUAUUGGACAAUGGGGGGAACCCUGAUCCAGCCAUGCCGCGUGUGUGAAGAAGGCCUUAUGGUUGUAAAGCACUUUAAGCGAGGAGGAGGCUACUGAGACUAAUACUCUUGGAUAGUGGACGUUACUCGCAGAAUAAGCACCGGCUAACUCUGUGCCAGCCGCCGCAGUAAGAC
rnacentral:rRNA from 1 species